UACGGAGGGAGCUAGCGUUAUUCGGAAUUACUGGGCGUAAAGAGCUCGUAGGUGGUUUGUCGCGUUGUUCGUGAAAACUCACAACUCAAUUGUGGGCGUGCGGGCGAUACGGGCAGACUGGAGUACUGCAGGGGAGACUGGAAUUCCUGGUGUAGCGGUGGAAUGCGCAGAUAUCAGGAGGAACACCGGUGGCGAAGGCAGGUCUCUGGGCAUUAACUGACGCUGAGGAGCGAAAGCAUGGGGAGCGAACAGGA
rnacentral:rRNA from 1 species